rnacentral:rRNA from 1 species
UCGAGAAUUUUUCACAAUGGGCGCAAGCCUGAUGGAGCGACGCCGCGUGGGGGAUGAAUGGCUUCGGCCCGUAAACCCCUGUCAUUUGCGAUCAAACCUUGCUAUUUAAAAGAUGGCGAGCUGAUAGUAGCGAAAGAGGAAGGGACGGCUAGCUCUGUGCCAGCAGCCGCGGUAAUACAGAGGUCCCAAGCGUUGUUCGGAUUCACUGGGCGUAAAGGGUGCGUAGGUGGUGGGGUAAGUCGGAUGUGAAAUCUCGGAGCUCAACUCCGAAAGGGCAUUGGAAACUACCCGGCUAGAGGGUCGGAGGGGGGACUGGAAUUCUCGGUGUAGCAGUGAAAUGCGUAGAUAUCGAGAGGAACACCAGUGGCGAAGGCGAGUCCCUGGACGACUCCUGACACUGAGGCACGAAAGCUAGGGGAGCAAACA